rnacentral:rRNA from 1 species
AUUUGUUUUGAUGGAUGUCAUUUGAAAACUAAGUAUGGAGGUGUGCUUCUGUCUGCAGUUGGCAUGGAUCCUAAUGAUUGUAUCUAUCCUGUGGCACACUGCAUUGUAGAUGUCGAAGAUACUAACACUUGGAGCUGGUUUAUGAGAACACUGAAACACGAUCUUGGGAUUCAGAACACCUCAGCAUGGACUGUCAUGUCUGAUAAGCAAAAGGGCCUAACAAAUGUUGUAUUGCAGCAUUUUCAUGACUCAGAACACAGAUUCUGUGUCAGGCACCUUUGGCAGAAUUUCAGAGAGAAAUAUAGAGGAGAUGUUCUGAAAAACCAGCUCUGGAAGAUAGCUAGGUGCACCACAACUGAUCAGUAUGAAGAAUAUAUGGAAGAGAUGAGA